rnacentral:tRNA from 1 species
UGGUGUCGCGGUUUGGUCAUUGCCUGAACGAUCUGCUGUAUCGUUGGAAAAUCGGGGCGCUUCCGAUUGAUAUCGU